GACUCUCAGCAAUGGAUAUCUCGACUUUCGCAUUGAUGAAGAACGUAGUGAAAUGCGAUACUUGGUGUAAAUUGCAGAAUCCCGUGAACCAUCGAGUCUUUGAACAUAAGUUACGCCUAAAUCCAUUAGGUUGAGGGCACGUCUGCUUGGGCAUCU